CCCCUCUCAGGGUCGCACCUGGAGCCUUCCCGGUACUCUACCGGUCUCGACUACAAGAGGGAGUGUCGGGCAGAGGCAUAUCCAUUCCAUUCCUAGCUUGGGCAGCGGCUAGUGAGUGGAAGGCGAUCUGCUACAAGU